GGGGAUGUGGCUCAGUGGUUGAGCUCUUGCCUAACAUGUAUGAGGCACUGGGUUCAAUCACCAGCACCACAG
rnacentral:tRNA from 1 species